GAAGUACUAAAUUCAACAGUAUAAAAACUUUUACUAAUUUAGUUGAACGAAAAAUUCCGCUACAUACUAAUUUCCUUCGUAAAAACUAAUACGAAAUAAAAAAGUAAAAUUCGUAAGAAACCAUAAUACAUCUCGUGAAUACAAAGUUUGAAAUACAACGGUAGUAAAAGCAUUAAAAACACUUAUCAACACAGAUUAAAUAUUCUCAUUAUAUGCAUUUAUAUAUGUAUGUGAACCUCAUAAUAUAGCUAAAAUCGAUUAUCGUACAAUUAGCGCCCUGUGAUGACGCCGCAUAACUUCUCACACGAAUAAAUAAUCACACAUUAAAAAUUGCGAUAACUACUAUUAUUAUUGCUAGGCAAAGUCUAACUAAAACUUCAAAAAUAAAACCCUUUUCACAGAAUAAAUAUUCCCCGCCUUUAUGUAAGCUGUAACCAAACAGUAUUUGCCAAACCUAUAUGUGGUUACAGACACAACAACGAUCUCUUAAUUAGGGUGACGAUAUAUUUUUACAUUUUUUAUGAAGAACUAGUUAAGUUUUUAUUUCAUUUGCGAAGAAAUAAAUGUGCUCACCGCUCAAAAGUUCAAUGCUUAAAGAUAGAUGUCCAAUCACUUAAAUUCAAACACACACUAUUAUAAACCGCUCACUUGUUGCGUCAAACACUUUUACACAUUGUGCAAAGGUGGCGAGAGUCGGCAACUAGUUAAUUGCAUUUCAACGCAACUAUUAUCACAUAUAUUUUGCGCUUUGUCGACAGAAAUGCAAAUAUCAUUAUAACGCCGGCAACUAUGUAUAUAUGUACAUACAUAUGUAGAUUUAAAUUGCGAAUGUAUUAAAUGUAGAAUGAAAAUUCUUUGUUGUCGCUUGUAAUAAGUAAUUGUAUGUUUUUAAUCUGAGAAUAUACUAUUUAUUUCAUA
rnacentral:lncRNA from 1 species